UAAGAUGCGACUUAAGGUGGGACGGAUCUAUGAGUUUUUUCAUAGGCUCUGGUAAUUCUAGUGUUAAAAGUCUUAUGUGAAUCUUAGUAAGCACUACUUUAAGCAUUAUAGUUUCCAGAUGCUGAAACCCUGUCUUUGAGUUUCCAUCAGUAUUGGAAUUUUAAUUCAUCCUCCUAUAGACAUUUAUAUACAUUGUCUCACACAUGCUCAUCGGGGGCAGCAGCAGGGGCUGGCUAAUGUUGAAACACCACACGGGUCUGGACAUGUACACUAAUAUCUCCUCUCAUUCUUUACAGGAACAAUUAAGAACAACUGCACUUUCUAUUUGAGCAGUAGACCGCCCCUUGGAUGGAUCACUUCGCACUGAUGACCCGCCUCUUUCUCCCUCUCGGUCAUAUAAACCCAGCAAUCCUCCUGUUCGUCAGUCAGAUGCAUGACUCAGUCCAUGAUGAUUACUCUUUUUGCUAACAAAAGCUUUUUUUUUUUUUGGCCUUACAGCAAUCCUGAUAAUAUAUGGGACGGAUCCCCCUAAACCUUUAUCUUGUGUUUAGGACUCAUUACAACCUACUGUCUCAAUUCUCAUCCGUUUGAAUUUUUCUUUUUGAUCAAAUCCUGUAUACUGUCAGUUAAUCAACACAAGAGCAUGAGUGAAUGAGAAGGGGUGUGAAGACAACCAAUGAUGUAAUCCCAGCUUGCCUCUGGUCCAGCUAUUUCUGAUGAAGCAAUAUAAAAGAACAAUAAAAAUAAAAGGUGUUUUAUUUGAUGGAUCACCUUACUAGACGAAUGAACUGGGACAACAAUUCUCAAACCAUUUUAAGGAAAUAUUUCACUGUUUUCUUUCUUUCACCGUUGGCACUUAAAAAGGAUUUCCUAGCUGAUACCCUAACACUUUAAUGUGUUUCUGUUUCAUGCUGUUAAUUUUUACUUUUGGAGCACUCUUCUGAAUUAACAUGUUUUAAAUGAUCUUUUAAUUAACUUUUUUUUUAAUCUGGUUGCUUUGAAUUGCAAUCUUUUGAUUGAUGGUUAGAUCAGUGAAGAGUACUAUUGAAUAAUUGAUAACUGCAUUUGACAACAAUUGUUAAAAUAUUAUUAUGAUUUAUUACAUAUUCAGUAAUAAAUUAUAUGAUCUAUUAGAUAAUUAACAAUACUUAAUUAUCACAAUCAUUUCUAAUUAUAGAUUAACAUAACUAACUGGUGGCUUGGCUGGGGGGGGUUCUUUAAAAAGGGUUUUAAUUUUAAGGUCUUAUUAUAAUGAAAUUGAUCAUUAGAUGAAUUAAAAAUAUUUUAUGAUAGACAAAACAACAAAUGUAACUUUCUAAAAAUAUACUUUGUGUGGCACAGUGGUACUAUGGUUAGGGCUGUAGAUCCCAAGUUCAGAUGACCUUGUUUGCUCAUCGUCUGUGUAGUUGUUACAGAAUCCUAUUCUUUCCCCCUAUAUAUUUAAAGCUAUGAGGGUACCUGUGGGCAUGUGCAUGAGUGUGAAACUCCGUUGGUUCUUGUCUUGUACAUACUGCCUUGGACGUACUUAGUGAGUUUCCAAAUGUAAGCAUGAAGGUAUGUAUGAAUUUAUAUGUACAGACAUAAUGAACCUCAAAUGAAGCCAAAUAUUGUUUUUAAGAUCAUAAUAUCAUUACCAAAGGAGUUUAGGAACUGAUGGUUUUGUAGAAGAGAACAAUAAAGGAAUAAUAACUACCAAAUAAUGUUUCAUUAAGAAAGAAAAUACUUCAUGUUGGUAGAUAUCACAAAUUGAUUUACUGUGAAUGAGUUGUCAAUUAUCCUACAAGAGAUAAGAAACUUGUAUGAGCUAGCAUCAAGUACUAGUCUUACACAUUUAGUCAGGUGCAGUGUCAAAAAAACACAAAAUAUUUACAUUUCUACUUCUAUUGCAAACAGCUAUUGCAAAGUUUCACAGUGGUAUAAAUAUGAAUACUGUAAUUAAAAUAAAUGUGAAUCUAGAUGUGGGAAGAACAUAACCCAUACAAACGGUGAUCAAAACCCAAACAAGUCCCUCUCGAGCUGUAGUGGAGCAGUACAAAAGAAAACUUCUUUGUACCAACCAUAAUUAAUUACAGUUUUUCCCAAUUGCCUAAACACUACACCUUGAACAGACAGAUAACGUUUUGCUUUAAUUCAGUCCUGAAAAUUAUACUAUUCCCAGAAUUACAAACUGUGUUUCCUUUCAUCAUAUCACUGAUUGGUUGCACCUUUGAACAGAUCUUCCAACACAAAUUCCAUUGGUGAAGAACACUUAUCACUGUAUGACCAAUUUGAAAACACUCCUCUCUCUAAUCAAACACAAGGUUUCAAAACUUAAGCUCAGUUAGCACUCAGCUGACCAGCUGAAAACACUGUGUGUCAAAUUGCUUUGCACUUGAUGCUAAACUACUGACUGCUUACUGUAUAAAUGAAGCCAUGUGUGUGUUUACUGGUUUUUUUCUGGAUGAACCUGCAAUGGAUAACAGACAAGGUGCAGGGAGAGGAACAACAAAAGCAAAAGCAAUACACAUAACUGAAAUAUAAGGUAAUGACAAUGACUCCUGUCAGAUGCAGAAGAACAAGAAACAGUGAAUAUGGUCGUGGCCAACAACAUUUGCUUAUGGGAAAUUCACAGCAGAGUCAUAUAAGAUCAGCAAACAUUCCAGGGCGUAAAUCGAAGCAUUUAUAGUAUAAACCGCAUACUGCUUCAUAACAACCUGAACAUGAAGCACGUAUACAAAGUCACUUUUGAAAUGAAUUCACACCAAAUCAAAACACCUGCAAUAAGCACAGGUAAGAUCAUUGGAAACUCAUAAAGUAUAUAGGACCAGAUCAUGAUAUAGUAAAAAGUACAAUACAGAUGUAGUAUACAUACAAAGUUCAAACUUUUUAAUGUACAGUUUGCUUACGUCUGUCCUUUUAUUGUAAUGAAUUUUUCAGCUUGAUACUAGCAACGUGAAUACAACUUUGUUGAUGAGGUAGGAUUUAACCUCACUAAAACAAGAAGGAGCUGCUACAUUACUGGGCAGCAUGCCAUUGCAGAAAUUCCUGGGUAGCAGGGAGACAAUGUGACCAUGUGCGUAGCCAUAAGUGAAUAUGGGGUUCACCACCACCAUGCCAUUUGAGGCCCUUAGAACAAAGAACGUUAGCUGAAUUUCCUAGAUCAUCUUUUUGAGAAUACUGAGUGACAACAAAAUGACACUGGAAAGACAGAGUUAUCACAAUGCAUUGUGAUUAGGGACAAUGUUAGUUUUCACCGAGCUGCAGCUUUAUGUAACUGGUUCAUUGAUCAUGCUAGGUUUUACAGUUUGUUUUUGCCAGCUGUGAAAGAAGUCACCCUCGGACACACAAAAAGAUUUGGGGCAGCCACCCAUAUAUUGUACCAAGCUGCAAAGGUUACUUGAAAUUGCACAGAUGUGAUCAGGGCAAGUUCUCAACAUGAACUGAGAGUACUGGCAAAGAUGGUGGCUUUAAAGGCCAUCAAAGGAAGUGAUGUCAUCUACGUCAGAAGCGGAAGAGACGUCAUUAUUGGCGCCAGAACCAGAAGUGGCUUUGUUUUUGGAACCGGAACCAGAAGAGACGUCACUCUUGGGCCCGGAACUGGAAGUGAUGUCUUGUAUGAGAAAUCAGGCAGGUUUUCCCAUGUUUGGUUUGCAGAGAAAAUAGAGAAAAGUUUUGUGCACCCUGCCGCCCCCUGGCCUGGAGUGGAAUUACCUUCUUUUGGUCCACUCAACUUCCUCCUAAUCGCAUGUGUGUGAUACAGCAUAAUCUCCAUUUCUCAACACCACAGAAGAAUUCUUCUUGGCAUGGCAAGGGAAAGUUUAUGAUCAGAAUCCUUAUGAUGUAAGGAAUCUACUGUGGGCCAUGGAGGAAGCCUGUGGGGAUAUCACUUUAAAAUCCAUCCAAGCCUAAAGGAGACAUAGCUGAGCAUCUUUCCCUCACUGUCCUAGAAGAGCAAAUAUCUUGUGUGAUACAGAUGAGGCUUUGUGGCCUGACCCAGCCUGGAAACACUGUGUCUUUAAUGUACUAUAUUUUGUAUAUAUUAUUUAUCAGCUUCAUUUAAAAUUCCCUAAUUUUUUUGUCACUUAUGGACUUUGUUUACUGUAACUUUCAUUUUAGGUUUACAGCAUUGUUUUGUAUCGAGUUUUUAGUGUAGUGUAGUGCAGAGUGAACGAGUGUAGUGCAGAGUGAAUUUUAAGUUCACUGUUUGACAGAGUGAAAUGAUAUGAUAUUGUGUUUAAACUUUUAAGGGAAUGAGGGCACUUUCGGUGAAAUGUUUUUAAGCAACUGUAAUGUCUAGGUGCAGGAGACAUGUACUUUGAUAACAUAACUAUACCCAAAUAAGAUUUAAUAUUUAGCAUUUGUAUUAUUCACUUUUAAGAAAAUCUAAAAGACAAGUCUCAGCUGAAGAGAUGCUACACAACCUUAAUCUACAUUUCAAUAUGCAAGCAAAGGUCAGAAGUGGUGCUCAAUGUCAUGUUAACUGUUUACAUUCUAAACUCUCUCUACAACUUCAACAUUUUGCUCUUUCAUUAAGAAAAGUUUGAAAUUUAUAUUCUCCUUUUACUUGAUAGCUUUUUGAAUCAUUAACUGUUAAAGUACAAAUGUUUUGAUGUUGCCUUUAUUAUUAAAUCCCUCGAUCUAAGAAAUUAAACAGAUGUUUCUAAGAAAAGCCUUAAGAACACUCUUGGUUGCCCUACCCAGGUUCUUUAAAUUCUUGUGAGAUUUAGGUUGGCUCACCAUGAUGCACUUUUUAGUUAAUUUUUGUAAUAGUAUGGUUGAGUUGUGUAAUAAAAUGUAUUUACUGCCAGAUACCUAUUCUA